CAUUUUUCUUCCUCAUGACCUCUUCAACUUCAAUAUGGGACAAUGUUCUUACUCAAACCUUUGCAUGUUUUCAUCUUGAUUGCUAAUUAAUGAUUUGUUGAAAGGAUUUGCUCAAAGCCUUUUGAUGAAAGCAUCCAUGAACAUCUCUUUGUCAGGAGUGUGGAUAUGCACCGUAGUAUCAUAAAAAUGAUUGAGGUAUUCUUUAAGGGGUCUCAUUAUCCCUUUGGUGAAUGUCGAAGAGAUCUGCAACCUUUGGGGGUUCCAUAACAUUUAAUGUAAAUUUAUCAGGGAACCUUUAUGAAAACUUCAGGAAGGAGGAAUAAUUCCAUCUAGGAUAUUGCUAAACCAUUACAAUGCAAUUCCUGAAAGGGUUAUGCAAACAUUUUAUAUCAGACAACAUUCAAUCUUCAAAAAAUCAUCAUUUGAGGUCAGAAAACUUAGAAAUGCUCUUCGAUUCAUAUACCCUGCAAAAUAUGUGAUCUUUGACAACAUGUAGUUGGUGACAUUGGCUUGUCUAGAAUGUGUUGAGAGAAAGGUUGGGUGUCAGGAAAAACUAUAAAAAAAUUCGACCAACCUUUCUCUGGCUAGUUAUUUGUUGUCGUAGCAUAUGCUAUAACUCGACAUUAACUUUUAACAUUUCUUCAUGGGCUCUCAAGACCUCUUCCAUUUGACGUUUAGAUUCUUUGGUUUCCCAUCAGAGAGCUUCCCUCUUGAUUUGAUCUUCUUCUGCUCAUCAUGGAGCCAUAUUGUUCUUUUGUCACAAAUCCUACAUAAUCUAAAGGAUUUGCUAGAGGGUGGAAGUGUCGUUUUCUGUUUUUGGUUGGGUCAUUUGUUUGUGAUUCCUUGUUUGGAUUAGAGAAGAGUGGGUAACAAAAGGUUGGUGGUGAGAAAAGUUUUACAUUGCCCCACGUAAACGUCAAUGUUCUGGUUAAGAAACGACCAAAGGAAAAUCCUUCUUUUGCCAUGUGUGUUAGUGUAUUGGUGUUUAUUGCCACUUGAGUCUUUUUGGCUAGGUGCCCCAUAUAUUUAUUGGAAAAUUGUGAUUGACAUAACAUCUUUUGGAAAUGUUUGGAGAGGUCCUUGGAUACUAGAAAAACAACCUAGCAUGAAUAUGCAUGAAUAUGGGGAUGAAAGGUGAAAUAUUGUUUUGUUUGUUGACAACAAAAUAAUGGUCUAAAAAUUCCGCUAACAAACUCCAAAAGACACCCUUUGAGACCCCAAAGAUUACUCUUCAAGUGAUCAUAUCAAUUAUGAAUUUAUUAUUGUAUUAUCGACCUUAUACUGGUUUUNNNNNNNNNNNNNNNNNNNNNNNNNNNNNNNNNNNNNNNNNNNNNNNNNNNNNNNNNNNNNNNNNNNNNNNNNNNNNNNNNNNNNNNNNNNNNNNNNNNNAAAGUAAAAUUAAUAUUUUUUUAGAAGAAAAAUUGUUUGGAUUUUUUAAAAUUCAACCCUAAAUAAUUAGAUUGAGUUUUAAAUCCAAAUUCAUGUUUUGAAAAAUAAAAUAGUUUUAAUGUUUAUAAAUUAGUUUGAUAUAUCUUAAAAUUGAUAUUUUCAAAAUUGGUUUCAAAUAUAAAAUAAUUUUAAGACAUUAUAUAUUUUUAAGAAUGAUUUUACAAUAAAAAUUUGUUAAAAUUUUUCAUAUUUUAUAAAAUGCGAUUAAUUAACAAUUUUAAAAACAAAUAAGUUUUUGGUAUUCAGUAAAUGUUUCCUAUAGAUGUAUACUUGUAUUAGUAUCUAUUUUUUCAUCUUCAUAUGGCUAAUAAUUAAGGAUAUAUUUUUUCAAACCAUAUUUUUAUAUUUUUAAUUAAUAUUUAUUUAAAUAAAUAGUGUCUAUACAUGUGAGUUUCAUAUAAGGACAUUUUACACUAGAUAUCGUUGUUUUAUAUUUUUUUUAUCAAAUCAUAUAUUCAUAUUAACUAUUAUUCUGUUAAAUCAUGUUUGGUGUCCAAUAAACAUUUAUCCUUCACUUUAAAAUAUUUUAUAUUAAGAUUCAAACUAAGAAAAUAUACGAUUUUAAAAAUUGAUAUCAAACUAACUUAUAAAUAUCUAAACUAUUUUCUUAUAUAAAAUAUGGAUUUAUAUUCCAUUCAAUUAUUUGAAUUUGAAUCUAUAAAAAAAAACAAAACUAGAUGUUUUUACAAGAUAUAAAUUUAGUUACAAUCCAAAUAAUUUGGAUUUAAAAUAACAAUACAAGAAGAAUAAUUUAUUAAGAAUUAUAACGAAUUUACAAAUGUACAAAUGCAUGCGAGUAAAUCAUAGUUAUAUCAAUCAAUGCAAUAAAUUUACUGGUUUAAAAUGCACUAAAUAACAGCAAUAAAACAUAGAUUUUAUGUCAUAACUAAUAUUGUUAUGAAGGAAAUGAAUAAAAGCACAACCUCAAUCAAAUUCAACUCAACUAUCAUAAAACAAAAAUAUUACAAAAUUUAUAAUCAAAAUCAAAAGUAGUUCUUCUCCAUCCAUAAUUGAUAGCAUCCCAAGCAAUACUAAUAAAAAAUGUAUUACGUACCAAACUUUUAAGAAUGUAAUGAAAAUCUUCAAAAUAUUAAUUAAAAAUUGCACUGAUUGAUAGAAUACUAUUUCUCAAAAGAUGAUAUAAGUGAAAAGUAAAAUAAUAUUAACAAUUGUAGUAAAGAACUUAAAAGUAAAAAGAUUUUAGAGUAAAAUUUAAAUUAUUCUAUAUGUAAUUUUAAUAAGAUAUAAUUACUUUAUAUUUUGUUGUAUUCUUAAAAUUAAAAAAUAUGAGAAAUUGGAUGAUAAAUUGGGAGAAAAAUAGGAAGAAACGAGAGAAUCUAGAAAAGAUUAAGAAGAUGAAAAGAAGAAAUAAGAAGAGAAGGAAAAACAUGAAAAAGAAAAUUGUACCAAAGAGCUAAAACUUUCCACAAUAUAUAAAAGAUAUGAAACAGUGAUAAAAUAUUAAUAUUUAUAAUAAUAAAUAAAUAAAUAUAGAAUAACUGCUCAUUUAAUAUCAGAACCCAUCAUUUAAAAGAAUAUUCUAUGUAAAUUAUGAAACACUGUUUCUUCCAUAUAUCUCAACUUGCAUCAAACAUUUUUUACGGUCAAUAGCUUACAUUAAAUCUAAGCCAAAAAAAUAUAUAGUACAUUUAGUAAAAGAUAUAUUAAAAAAAUUAAUAUAUUUUAAAUAAAGAGAUAACACCAAAAUUUUAACAAAAAAUUAAAGUGAGCUCUUUUCAAAAAGUUUGAGCUUAACAUUAAAUAUUUAUACAAGAAAAUCAUGAAAUAAUGAAAUAGAAACCAAUUUUAGAAAUAGAAAUUAAUUAGUUGUUAUAGUAACUAAAUUAAAAAUAUUUUAGAAAGUAAAUAAUUUUUUGGUUUUUAAAUUAAUUUUUAUUAUUGUUAAAUAAUUUUUAAAUUGGUAUUUAAUUAGCGACUAAGGUUUUUAAAUGAUAUUUAAAUUGGUAUCUAUAUUAUUUAUAGAAUUUUCCAUCUUUUGUAGUAUAGUAAUAAAUUUACUGUAUAUUUUUCUUUUUUAGGUAUAAAAAAACUGUAUAAAGUUAUUGUGAAAAAGAGUGUAUUUUUGUGAAAUUGUAUAGAAGAUAUUUUGUUUAGAAGUAAAAGCAGAAAGUGGUGUUAUGAAGAUUCCAAAAUAAUGAAAAAUGGUCCUACUCUUACCUCUACCAACUUGCCCUUUACUUUCACCAUUCUUCACUAAUAUCCUAUUCUAUCAUCAAAUAAAAUAUCUUUUAUCAUCCAUUACAACUACAACAACCUUUAAUUCCUCAUACAUCAACAAGAACCAAAGAUGCACAUAAACAUCAUUGUUUUAGUGUUAGUGCCAAAUUUUUCUUCUGACCACUUACAUGAAAUCUAAAAUAUAAUUAAGAAUCAAAUAAAAAUAUAAAAUUUUCAUCAAGUAUUUAUCAGUUCAAAAGAAAAUAUUUGAUACUCAGUCAAAAUUCAAUUAUGAUUUCAUCCACUUGAUCUCUGUGAAGAGAUAAUUGACAUCAUCUUUUGAAAUAUUAUUUAUCGCCAAUUCUUUCAUUAGAAAUCGAACUUUUCGAGUGUGACUCGGCCCACUUAACUUACAUCAAAGGAUAAUUGUGCAACUCGCAAUAAUCUUUUUGUGAAUAAUUGUCUAAACUAGUAGUGACGUUGACUUUAACAACAAUAGUUAGAUUCAACACUUAUCACUAAACUAAAAGUUAUAAUUGAUAAUUAAGAUGUAACUAUUUAUAACUAAAAGUAUAUUCGUCUAAACGUGACGAUUCAAUUAUAAUUAGUGUUACCUAUAACAUAAAAUAUUUUAAAAAAAUAAAAAUAUGUAUUAUAUUAUAUUAUGAUAGAUUAUUUAGUGAUUGAAUAAUAAGUAGACCUAUUAAGUAUCAAUAACAAAGUAAUUUUUUUUAUUCAUGACUAACUAUAACCUAUAUUGAUCCAAUAGCCUAAAAAGUUUACAAUGUAUAAUCAAAUAUCAGCUAAUUAUUUCACAAACUUUUUCCUAAAAUAAAAAUAUCACAAACUUUUAUUUGUUAUGAAGAGAAGAUUGGGUAUAGAGAAUUUUAAAGUUUAAUAAUUUUUAUUAAGGUGUCAUAAAUUAUGACUUUAGAUGACAAAAUAAAUAAUAUAUUGUCUAAUAAUAUUGAUGUUUAGUUUCUUUGAUAUUACAACCAUAAAGGAUCAAAGUCAAAAGUACACUUAAGCAAAUUUAUCACGUGUCAAGCAAACACUUUAGUUCUCAUGUUAUCAAAUAGUUAACAUAAGAAAAUCGAUAAAGAUACUAAUGACCUCAUUUUUGUAAUUAAAAGUUAAGAAAAAAAUUAAAACUAAAUAAUUAUGAUGUUUAGAUACCAUAGAUGAAAGUAAAACUUGAAAGUUUUGUACUUUUAAUGGAUAAUUGAAUCUUGACAUGAAUAUGCAGAAGUAAAUAGAUAAUUUAAAGUUGGUAUAUUCUCAGUAUAAAAUAUCUAAUCUAAUUAAUUAAUUAAAAAAAUUCCAAAUAUAGUUUUUAAAAAGAUUAUUACGAAAAAUAAUGAUUUUAAUUAUAUGAUAAAAAUUUAUAUUUAAAUGAUAAAUUUUAUAUUAUCUACAUAUUUUCAUUAAAAUCAUAUAACAUUAUAAAUAAAUGAUAAAACAUGUUAAGAUCUAUGAAUAAAUUACUAAUAUUUUUAAAAUGUUAUUCUAUCUUUAAGUGGUAAAAAUACUCUAAUAAACUAAAAAAUUAUAUCAAUACUCUAGAUAAAUUUACUAUCAAUGAAAUCAUAAAUAAAUUUAUAUAAAACGAAAUCACGUGUGAAUGAAUGAUGCACAAAAUUUAUAUAAAAAAAAAUCAAAACAUUACUUUCAAUUUACAUUACAAUAGUCUCUUUUCUUUGUAUUAAGAAUAAAAAAUCAAUUUAAUUUUAAUAUUUUUAAAAAGUUUAAUAUGCUCUUAAUUUUUUUUUCAAAAUAAUUCAAUAUAAUUCUUUUUAUUACAUUGUUGUUAUUAAAACAUAUUUAUUUCAACAACCCUACUAAUACAUAUUGAAAUAUAUGUGUUGUUACCAUAAAUUAAUACUAUAAUAUUUAAUUAUUUUUAAAAAGUUGAGAUCACAUUAAAUUGACCAAAUUAAAUUAUUUUAAAAAAAAUUAGAGCGACAUUAAACUUUUAAAAUUCGAUGAAUAAAAAUUAUUUUUUACCUUUAAUGUUGGGAAAAAAUAAUUAAAUGUAUUAUUUAAUAUAAAAGUUUGAACUUAAAUUUUGAAGUAUAUGUAGAAAAUGAAGAAAAAGUGUUUAAUUUGUAAGAUUGGAUGGAAAGGAAGAGCAAAAGAUGAAAUGAAUGAAUUUUGAUUUUUGUGAAGAAGUUGAAAGGAAAGGAAUGGUAUUAAGAGAAGUUUCCAAGUCAAAAUGAAUGCAACCAAUGGAAGAGGAAAGAUUCUCAACUAAUUGCCAUCACUGUAGCCAUGCAAUAGAUAUUUUCAUUUUUAUAUUACAUAAUUCUUUUUAAUUAGUUGACUUUCUAUACAAAUAUUUUAUUCAAAUUUGAUGGAAGAAGUGAGUAUAAAACCUAACAAGAAUCAACUCUCAUUCUACUAAGCAAACCAAACACUGUGUAGAGACACAUUCAAAUUCUAAGUCUUCACUCUGGAAGAACCACAACCACUAACUUUAAAUAAAUAUCAUAAAAAUUAUCAAAUAUUUUCUCAUCAAAGACAAUAACUUUACACAUAAAAUUAAUAUAUAUAUUUAUAUUAAAAACAAUUCAUGCAAGUGGGGUUGAUGUGUCACAUGGGGAUAGCUUUUUCCUUUCAACAUUUACUCUCAUUUAAUAUAUAUAUAUAUAUAUAUAUAUAUAUAACCUUGUUAUUUUUCAUGUAUUUAGUUUAAUUUAAACUUUUCAAGUACGAUGUAAAAUCCAGCAAUGUUGUGAUUUAAUAAACAAUAUGGCAAAUCACUAAUCAAUCGAGAAAUGAUGGAUAUAGGAGUGAAGAGGAAAACAUAUUUUAAAAGGGAUUUUUCAACAUUUUUUUAUAAAUUUCACGAAAUUCAUUUCAUAUUAUUUAGUAUUUUCCAUUAAAAUUUGCUGACAAUUCAUUUCAUUUAGUUUAAGUAAGAAAACAUUUUCUUAUAUUUUUUAAACAACAGUAUAUUAGAUAUUAACAUUUUAAAAUAAUUCAAACUUUGAUUAUACAUUUUAAUUUUAUAAUUUUCAAUAAUAAUUAAUCAUUCAAUAUCUUAAGCAUUAUAUAUACACACACAUAAAAGAUCAUCUUUAGGAGUUAUAAAAAAAUAUAUAGUUUUACAAACUUUACCUUCAAACAAAAAUAUUUCUAACGAUUCUUCUUAAUCUAUUUUUUUUUUCAAUUUAUUAUUUUCAGUUUUCUUUCAAAAUAAAAUAUUAAAAUUUAAAAAAAAACUUUGUAUAUGUAUCGACUUCUAAUUACAAUCAUCAUAUAUUUAUAUAUUCAUUUUUUAUUUAUUAUAAAUAAAUAAAAAAUUGUAUAUUAAAAAGAUUACAAUAUUAUUGUGUAGUUAUGAAUAAUAAAUUUGAAUUAAAAUCCAAAAUCUAACUAAAAUUCCAAGCUUGACUUUUAAAUUAUUAACUAUAUAUUUUUUAAAUUAUUCUUAUAUCUGCACACUAAUAUACUAAUUCAUUAGAAUCAUAAUUAACAAAUAUAAAAAUUUCCAAAAAUUUAAAUAAAAUUUAUAUAAAGUAAAUUUUUAAUUAAGAAAAAUAAAAUUAAAAAAUAUUAAAAUGUGUAAUCUUAAUAUAUAUGUAUAUAUUAUCAUUAUAGAAAUACACGGGAUGAUAACUUCUUUUAACUUUUUUUAAUAUCUUUUAAUUUGAUUUAAUAAAUAAAAAUAAUUUAUUUAUUUAAUAAAAUAAAUAAUGGAAGAAGUUUUCUUUAAUUUAAAAUAAUUAAAUAAUUUCUUCUUUUGAAAAUAACAAUUAUAUAAUUUUUUAAUUAUUUUUAAAAAUUAUAUCUAUUUUCAAAUUAUAUUUUUUAAUUUUAAAUUAAUUAUUAAUAGAAAUAAUGAAAUUAUAAAAAUCUAAAUACACGUCGGCAUAAUCAGUUUUUGCUAGUAAAAAUUAAAAAAGAUUUUGAAAUUUGAAUAACAGUCCAAGUCAGAAGGGAGCACGUGCCUGAUACCAAAACAACGGUCCAGAUCAUGGAGCACUCAUCGAAUCCAAGGGUUCCAAUUCAUCCAUGUGAACUCACACUUAUCGACUAACAACGGUCUACGGUGUGCCACGUGUUCUCGAGAUAGAGCGUUAUUAACCCUUCUGAUCCAACGGACCCUGCUCAUUACCUCCCAAACAAACACUUCCGUUCCGUUUUACCUUUCCCCAACCCGCCGGAGGCGCCGUCACCCUCCGCCGGCCACCGUAUUCAUCUCUACCAAUACACCCACUUAGACUUCCACACAAAAUUAUACGAUUCAGUGAUUUCAUUUCUUGAAAUUUUCGUUUCAACAGCGCUUCAAUUUGACGCAGAACCGCUUCGUGUCUCGGAUUUGUAACUUCUCAUUCAUUCCGAAUCGAAUUUGAAUUUUUGAAGGAAAAUUCAUGAAAUCUCAGUUCCAUAGGAGCUUCUAGUACAAACAGUGCCUCACUUCCACGCAGAACAACCAACUCAAAUCGAUUCUUGACUCAGGAUUUUCAACUCUUCGUUCAUUCCGGAACGAGUUUGAAAGUUCGAGGUAAACCGCACCAAGCACUCUGAAUAAGUUUCUGCUGAGAACAGCAAUUCAAUUUCACGUGAAAUAGAGUCAAAGCCAUUUGUGGUUCGGAGUCACAGUUCAAAUCCAUGUCCAAUUGACCUUCAAACUCCGAAGAAAACCGCACUGAAAGACUGAAUUUCAUACACGGAACAGCGAUAAGUACUUCAGAUUCUCGUGGAGCGAGUCAAAGAGAUUCAAAUUGAGUCGGCGAACUCGUCCACGGUGAACUCUGAUAUUUUCCUACACUGAUUUCGUGAUUCAUUUCAUCUUUUCUCAGCGAUUCUUCGAACCUCGCUGUUCAUUGAUGGCGGACUCCGACAACGACUCCGGCGGCACGCACAACGCCGGCAAGGGCAGCGAGAUGUCGCCACGGGAGCAGGACCGGUUUCUA
rnacentral:lncRNA from 1 species